AUACGGAGGGUGCAAGCGUUAAUCGGAAUUACUGGGCGUAAAGCGUACGUAGGCGGUUCGUUAAGUUAGAUGUGAAAGCCCCGGGCUUAACCUGGGAACUGCAUUUAAAACUGGCGAACUAGAGUUGAGUAGAGGGGAGUGGAAUUUCAGGUGUAGCGGUGAAAUGCGUAGAGAUCUGAAGGAACACCAGUGGCGAAGGCGGCUCCCUGGACUCAAACUGACGCUGAGGUACGAAAGCGUGGGUAGCAAACGGGAUUAGAAACCCUAGUAGUCC
rnacentral:rRNA from 1 species